CCUCCCGGCCAACUCACAUUGCAAAGUCCACCCUGCUUAGAGAAACCUCACCUAUGACUCACAAAGACAGAACAGCUAUGUUACACUCUCGACAGGACAGCUGUUUCAGGAUGUCAGGAUAGAAUACCAUCAACUGAACAGCCACAGAAGAAAUAUGUUUAAAAAAGAGCAAGUUAUGUGCCAGAACCCAGGGCCACUGCAUCGGCCUCUGGGGAUGCCAUGCUUCAGAGGCAGAAGACAUUGUGUUCUCCAUGUCAGUUCCCAGCCCUGCUGCGGAUGUGUAAGGGCGAGGUGUGUGGCUGAAGGUCGGAUCAUCACCAGGGAAAGGCUGGCUGGUGACCACCUGGCACUCCCACUGGAUGGCAUCACUUUGGUAGGCACCUUCUCAUUAGAAGGUGACCAUCUAUAAACCAGGAAGAGGGCUCUCACCAGAACCCAACCAUGCUGGCAUGCUGAUCUUGGACUUCCAGCUUCUGCAACUGUGAGAAAGAAAUGCUUGUUGUUUAAGUCACCCAGUUUAUGAGAUUCAAUUAUAUCAGCCCAAACUUCCUAAAACAGUAAUCUAGAUAAAAACACUCAGCAAAUGUUGCUACUGUUAUUGUUAUGUAUUCAUUCUUUUAGAGGACUUCCACUUUCAGCAAAGUGUAAUAACAGAAACUAGAUUUACUCCUGCCCCACAUAGCUCAAGCAACCAAAAAGUAGACAAAGUAUGUUAAACAACAGUUUUGAAGCCCUGGACAUGAGGCAACAAAGGACAGUGAUUCCUGAGAGACAGGAAUCAAAUGAUGUGAGCCCUAAGAUUGCCCCAGAUUACUGCCUUGAGAAAGACUCCAGGCUGCAAUACAGAGUGUAGGAAGAGUAGGACCUCAGUGAAGCCCAGUGGACACCCUGAGUCGAGAAAAUGGAACUGAAAGUCAGGGGAGGCUGAGAUAGCCAGCGUUCUCUGGACAGAGUAUUGGGAAGGACAGUUUUGUACAGAGAACUCUGGAGUAUCUCCCUUAAAUAUUUUGCUGGGUACAGAUCAGCAUGCACAUGAGGAAGCUACCUGAGGCCAAACUACCUGAAAAACACCCCAAGAAAGCAGAGGUAGCAGUGCCUGGUGUCCACAAAGAGCCAGGAGUAGUGUCUUUCUCACCAGCCAGACUAGAAAACAUCAUGAUUCAUGGAGAACUGGCUAGAGCCCACAUGAGAUUCUUGCUGAGUAGUUAGGGAUAGAUAGUAAGCCUUAGACUGAUUACCACUCCAGUCCUGCCUAACAAAUCUUGAAAUAGACCUGAAAUCUAUUUCCAAGUCUCUUAACUGAAUCCUACGACAAAGUUCAAGAAUAUGUGCAGGAAUGUGGAAAUAUCCAACAUCCAAAUAAGGUAAGAUUCAGUAUAUCUGUCACCCAGCUAAAACCUACCGGACAUGAAAAAAACAUGGUGAUAUGGGCCAUAAUGAAGAGAAAAAUCAAAACAAACUCAGAAUGGACAGAGUUAGAAUUAGGAGUCAGUAACAUUAAGACAGCGAUUACAAUGUAUUUCAUAUGUUCAAAAAGUGAAGUAGAAAUAUGGAAGAUAUGAAAAAAGAAUCUAAUGUUUAGAAAUCAAAAACUACAAUGUGUGAGAUAAAAAAGACUGAAUGGGAUUAGACAAUAAUGAAAAAAAAUGAGUGAAUGUGAAGACAAAACAGCAACUCUCCAAAAUGAAACAGAAUGAUUUUUUUUUUUUUAAUAAAAAGAACAU